AUGGGACCAAGGUUCACUAGAGUAGCAAGACCAUUUCUUCAUGAAUUAAAAUACAGCCUUAUUAGCAGACCCAGUGACACAUUGUGCUUGCUGAAAUGCAUAAAUAUCUGCAGGACAUCCCAAUGGAACCAAGGCUUUUACCAUCAUAGAAUUAUGGAAGCAUCUGGGUGGAUUCCCCCUCUAGGGAGUAUUGGCGCUUCCUGCUUUAGGUUCUUCGUCUGCUCCUGUAUUUCUCUCACUACAUGCUCCUUCAGCAGCCAGCACCUUGUGACUACUCUCCACCACUCCAGUUUGUUACACCUUCAGUUGUACCCUAAAUGCUCUUCAAUAACCAGGAUACACCAGCAUCAUCUGCUUUAAAGAGUGUGACGUAGAAAAGCUGCUGUCACUUGCUUCCAAUCAUUUAUGUCCCUUUCAGAAGAGAGUUGUAUUAUCGUUGAUCAUCCUGCUGGACAAUAUCUCAAAUCCCCACUGGACCGUGCCCCAGAAGCAUCAGCAGUAGAGAAAAGAUCUGGACAUAGUUGGAGAAAGAGGCACAUCCUCUGCAUGAAUCAGAAUCAUAGAGACGUCUGGAAGCAGACAUUUACAUGGUUCAGUUGAUGUGUGAAGGAGUGCCGUGUGGAAAUUCUUCACAAAAUCAGUACUAUCUCCCCCACAGCUGUAACUUACCCUCUCAUUAUGCUGAACGUUUCAGUGAGUCACUCGGCAGGUGCAAGAACUUUCCCAUUCCUGAAUUAUAUAAGCACCUAUGUCUCUUCAGAUGCUAAUGGAAGGUGGAGAAAGUCUAGUCCAUGAACUGCUGACAAUGAAUAGCCAUGUAGGCUCAAAUUAAAGCAACAUUCCUCAUCUUCAGAAAUUUAUUUGGAUACAUAAACCUAAUAUUAAGUGACAUUUGUGUUUUCCAUUUUCUUGAGCAAAUACUUUUGAAUAUGGUUUUAUAGAGUCGUGAUUACAGAGUACUCUAAAUUAUACUCAUAAGUAAAAAGGUUAAAGCUUAAUGUUUAAUCUGUCAACACCUCUGUUAUAAAUGAGAGAUAUUGUAUGUUGUUUCCUUUGGAAUUAAUUAUUUUUAUUAUCCUGGUCUCUUGUAAAACAGAAUUAAGAUAUUUGAA
rnacentral:lncRNA from 1 species